rnacentral:lncRNA from 1 species
ACUCCGCUUUCCCUGCAUCAUACCACUGGGGGGCAUUGAUGAUCCCUAUCUUUGUAAAAACUUCCGGCAGCAGCAUUCCGGCAACCCCUAACAUCGCCCAUCUACUGUUCACAAGCUCAGCCUGCACGUACCAUUUCAAGUUCUCGGGGUCCUCCGCAAGCCCCAGAGGAUCAAAACCAUUGUCACCAGGAAGACUGCACCCAACCAACAAACAUUUGUUUCAGUUGAACUGGUCACAACACCAGGAUUCAUCAAAGUUUCACACAAAUAAUGCUUGGUCACUUUGUCAAAAGUUCGGAGUUGCGACUUAAGCAGAUAAUAGAGAUUAUAGAUUGAGUUGGGUGGCAAAUUUACCUUCCAUCGAGGUAAGAUGGGGAAGACAGGCCGGGCAACCACUCCCCUUUCUUGGCCUCCACCUUGAAGGACCUGUAUGACGAAGAGGUCAUGGGUUUUACAGAUACUUCUCGACCCAGUUUACCGGAGGACCCAGUGAGGAACCUCGAUUUGGAGGCGCAUGGCCGGAAGACGGCGGCGGAAGCUUGGGUGGUGACAGUGGCCAUAUUUUCCGACCUGAAUUCCGGGGGAGAGAUGCGGGUU